rnacentral:rRNA from 1 species
ACUACGGGAGGCAGCAGUGAGGAAUAUUGGUCAAUGGGCGGAAGCCUGAACCAGCCAAGUAGCGUGCAGGAUGACGGCCCUACGGGUUGUAAACUGCUUUUAUACGGGAAUAACGCGCCUUACGUGUAGGGCUUUGCAUGUACCGUAUGAAUAAGGACCGGCUAAUUCCGUGCCAGCAGCCGCGGUAAUACGGAAGGUCCGGGCGUUAUCCGGAUUUAUUGGGUUUAAAGGGAGCGUAGGCCGCAUGUCAAGCGUGCUGUGAAAUGUCCGGGCUCAACCCGGGCCUUGCAGCGCGAACUGGCGUGCUUGAGUCCGCGGAAAGUAGGCGGAAUUCGUCGUGUAGCGGUGAAAUGCUUAGAUAUGACGAAGAACCCCGAUUGCGAAGGCAGCUUGCUGCAGCGGAACUGACGCUGAUGCUCGAAAGCGCGGGUAUCGAACAGGAUUAGAUACCCCGGUAGUC